rnacentral:rRNA from 1 species
AGGACGAACGCUGGCGGCGUGCCUAACACAUGCAAGUCGAGCGAGGAGAUCCUCGGGAUGAUCCUAGCGGCGGACGGGUGAGUAACACGUGGGCAACCUGCCUCAUAGAGAGGAAUAGCCUUCCGAAAGGGAGAUUAAUACCUCAUAACAUUGCAGUUUCGCAUGAAACAGCAAUUAAAGGAGCAAUCCGCUAUGAGAUGGGCCCCGCGGCGCAUUAGCUAGUUGGUGAGGUAACGGCUCACCAAGGCGACGAUGCGUAGCCGACCUGAGAGGGUGAUCGGCCACAUUGGGACUGAGACACGGCCCAGACUCCUACGGGAGGCAGCAGUGGGGAAUAUUGCACAAUGGGGGAAACCCUGAUGCAAGCAACGCCGCGUGAGUGAUGACGGCCUUCGGGUUGUAAAGCUCUGUCUUCAGGGACGAUAAUGACGGUACCUGAGGAGGAAGCCACGGCUAACUACGUGCCAGCCGCAGC